rnacentral:misc_RNA from 1 species
AAAGACAUCAGAUUUUGUUGAAAACUUUCCAAAUACUGCAUAUUCUGGAGGCAUGUAUCCACUGCAUAUGGAAAAAAAUAUAUAGUUAUGUAUAAUGCUCAUUCACAGUUACUGGAUAUAAGAAAUAUUUAUUAUGUCAAUGAUUCUCCGUCUUGCUGCUGGGUAUGUUGGCAUACUUACAAUGUUCCUGCAAUUCUGUUGGUCUUUUCCUGAAUUUGGCUGCUUUUGAAGAUUCUAGCCA